UGCCUGUGAUGACUCGCCAUGCUAAUACUGAACUCCCGAGGGCAGCAAACCGGGGUUUGAACGAAUGUUGCUUUUUGCACUGAGGCAC